rnacentral:rRNA from 1 species
AGUGAACGCUGGCGGUAGGCCUAACACAUGCAAGUCGAACGGCAGCACAGUAAGAGCUUGCUCUUACGGGUGGCGAGUGGCGGACGGGUGAGGAAUACAUCGGAAUCUACUUUUUCGUGGGGGAUAACGUAGGGUAACUUACGCUAAUACCGCAUACGACCUACGGGUGAAAGCAGGGGAUCUUCGGACCUUGCGCGACUGAAUGAGCCGAUGUCGGAUUAGCUAGUUGGCGGGGUAAAGGCCCACCAAGGCGACGAUCCGUAGCUGGUCUGAGAGGAUGAUCAGCCACACUGGAACUGAGACACGGUCCAGACUCCUACGGGAGGCAGCAGUGGGGAAUAUUGGACAAUGGGCGCAAGCCUGAUCCAGCCAUACCGCGUGGGUGAAGAAGGCCUUCGGGUUGUAAAGCCCUUUUGUUGGGAAAGAAAAGCAGCAGGUUAAUACCCCGCUGUUCUGACGGUACCCAAAGAAUAAGCACCGGCUAACUUCGUG